rfam:Massilia sp. KIM NODE_11_length_3305_cov_650.612_ID_1311, whole genome shotgun sequence.
CCUGAUGACCAUAGCAAGUCGGUCCCACCCCUUCCCAUCCCGAACAGGACCGUGAAACGACUUUGCGCCGAUGAUAGUGCUGCAAC